CCCCUCUCCAGUCCUAUGUAAGCCCUACAUUACCCCUUCUCUGCUGACAUGGAAGGCAGAAAUGACAAAGUGCAGAAGGAGAGGUAUGAGCAGUGGGUGUUCCUGAGUCCAACAAGCCCUACGGAGCUGUGCAUUGCCAAACGCUUGCCCUCUCUCUGCUGGAUUCUUGACUAACUUCUGCACAGGAGUGACUGAGGAGCCUCCAUACCAAGGUGCACACUCACAACAGAUCACUGCAUGGUUGCAGUUGCAAAUGAUUCCUACGGAAGAAUUGCACCACCUCACCAUUUGCUAAGCAGUCCAUCACAGUGGUAUGAAAGGAGACUGUUGCAGGU